rfam:Micromonas pusilla CCMP1545 genomic scaffold MICPTCscaffold_2, whole genome shotgun sequence.
GUUCAUUCGUUGAACAUCUGUUAAAAUUGGAACGAUACAGAGAAGAUUAGCAUGGCCCCUGCGCAAGGAUGACACUGCAACUCUGGGAAAGGAACCAUAUUUUU